rnacentral:lncRNA from 1 species
CUUUGAUACACCCUCGACAACUUUAAUUCCUCUAAUGUGAAAUCAACUGCCUAUGGGACUUAACUAUUUCAAUAAAUAGGCAUCGAAAUACAGAUCUGAUAUAUACAUGUAGUCAAAGUUGAGCAACACUAAGAAACAAUUUUGGCUGCACAUUUAGUUGUUUGACAAGGUUAUCUAUCUAUGCUAGCUUCACUUGCAGCAACAAAAAUGAGUAUUUGGUCUCUAGCU